AGAGUUUGAUCCUGGCUCAGGACGAACGCUGGCGGCGUGCCUAAUACAUGCAAGUCGAGCGGACCGAACGAGGGCUUGCUCUUGUUUGGUCAGCGGCGGACGGGUGAGUAACACGUGGGCAACCUGCCCGCAAGACCGGGAUAACUCCGGGAAACCGGAGCUAAUACCGGAUAACACCGAAGGCCGCAUGGUCUUCGGUUGAAAGGCGGCCUUUGGGCUGUCACUUGCGGAUGGGCCCGCGGCGCAUUAGCUAGUUGGUGAGGUAACGGCUCACCAAGGCGACGAUGCGUAGCCGGCCUGAGAGGGUGACCGGCCACACUGGGACUGAGACACGGCCCAGACUCCUACGGGAGGCAGCAGUAGGGAAUCUUCCGCAAUGGGCGAAAGCCUGACGGAGCGACGCCGCGUGAGCGAAGAAGGCCUUCGGGUCGUAAAGCUCUGUUGUGAGGGACGAAGGAGCGCCGUUCGAGGAGGGCGGCGCGGUGACGGUACCUCACGAGAAAGCCCCGGCUAACUACGUGCCAGCAGCCGCGGU
rnacentral:rRNA from 1 species